CGACGAUUAUUAUGUGGUCUAAUUUGAUUAGGAUUAAUCUCGUUUUUAAAUUGAAAAGCUAAUUAGAGAUAAAUUCUAAUCAUAUUAGAAUAACAAUUAAUAAUCGAUUUGGUCUUAUCUCUUACGUAUCCUAUUAGGAUUUUAAAAUCCCUUAUAAAUAUACUGGCGAUCUCACAAAAAAAAAAAAAAAAAAAACAAGAAAAUUAAGAGAGAAACGUAGAAACUACAUUCUCCCUUAACCUAUUAUUCAACAGAGUCUUGAACGGUGGAUUGGAGAUCGUGCUCGUUUGUAAUUCAAUCCACCACAAAUUUGGAGGAUAGAAGAUUUUCAAAGACGAUCCGAGGAUACGUAAAUCAAUCUCUACGAUCCGAGCUCGUCGUGUUCUAACGCAAGUUGCUUCUGCUAAAAGGUACAAACGAAUACUUCCGCUGCGUUCUACAAUUCUAAUUUCAUACAAACCAAAAAAUAAUAAUAAAAAUAAUAAUAAUAAUAAUAAUUGGUGGCAAAU
rnacentral:lncRNA from 1 species